GCAAACUUGGUCAUUUAGAGGAAGUAAAAGUCGUAACAAGGUUUCCGUAGGUGAACCUGCGGAAGGAUCAUUACCGAGUUAGGGUUCUCUCCCGAGGCCCGACCUCCCAACCCUGUGUCUAACAAACCUGUAUGUGUUGCUUCGGUGGACCGGCAGUCCCCUCACGGGGGUCCGUCGCCGGGGGAGACAACGGCCUCACGGCCCGCCCCUGGAGAGUGUCCGCCGAUGGCCCCAUUAACAAACCUUCCCAAACCCAAAAUCUUGUACCUAAAACUUCUGAAUCAGACAUUUUGAUGUACCAAUCAAAAAACAAAACUUUCAACAACGGAUCUCUUGGUUCUGGCAUCGAUGAAGAACGCAGC
rnacentral:misc_RNA from 1 species